rnacentral:rRNA from 1 species
GACGUAGGGCGCGAGCGUUGUCCGGAUUUAUUGGGCGUAAAGAGCGUGUAGGCGGCCAGGUAGGUCCGCUGUGAAAACUCGAGGCUCAACCUCGAGAUGUCGGCGGAAACCAUCUGGCUAGAGUCCGGAAGAGGAGAGUGGAAUUCCUGGUGUAGCGGUGAAAUGCGCAGAUAUCAGGAAGAACACCCGUGGCGAAGGCGGCUCUCUGGGACGGUACUGACGCUGAGACGCGAAAGCGUGGGGAGCGAACAGG